GUCCACGCCCUAAACGAUGCAUAUUUGGUGUAGGUCAUUCAGUUGAUCUGUGCCGGAGCUAACGCGUUAAAUAUGCCGCCUGGGGAGUACAGUCGCAAGGCUGAAACUCAAAGGAAUUGACGGGGGCCCGCACAAGCGGUGGAGCAUGUGGUUCAAUUCGACGCAACGCGAAGAACCUUACCUGGGCUCGAACGGCUUCUCAACGACUAUGGAAACAUGGUUACUCCGCAAGGGGGUGAGUCGAGGUGCUGCAUGGCUGUCGU
rnacentral:rRNA from 1 species